rnacentral:rRNA from 1 species
UACGUAGGGUGCGAGCGUUAAUCGGAAUUACUGGGCGUAAAGCGUGCGCAGGCGGUUUGACAAGUCAGAUGUGAAAGCCCCGGGCUCAACCUGGGAACUGCGUUUGAAACUGUCAGGCUAGAGUGUGUCAGAGGGAGGUAGAAUUCCACGUGUAGCAGUGAAAUGCGUAGAGAUGUGGAGGAAUACCGAUGGCGAAGGCAGCCUCCUGGGAUAACACUGACGCUCAUGCACGAAAGCGUGGGGAGCAACAGG